AUUUAAGUAACUUAUUUAGAGUGUAAUAUUGAAGAUAUUAAAGAGAUUAGUUUAUCCUUAAAUA
rnacentral:tRNA from 1 species